rnacentral:rRNA from 1 species
GACGAACGCUGGCGGUGUGCCUAAUACAUGCAAGUAGAACGCAGUUGCGAACGGGUGAGUAACGCGUAGGUAACUGCCCCAUAGCGGGGGAUAACUAUUGGAAACGAUAGCUAAUACCGCAUACUGUGAGAUGGACCUGCGUUGUGUUUGUUAGUUGGUGAGGUAAAGGCUCACCAAGGCGACGAUACAUAGCCGACCUGAGAGGGAGGACGGCCACACUGGGACUGGGGCAAGGCCCAAACUCCUACUGGGAGGAGCAAUAGGGAAAGUUCGGCAAUGGGCGGAAGUCUGACCGAGGAACGGCGCGGGAGAGAAGGAGGUUUUCGGGGCGUAAAAGUCUGUUGUGUGGGGAGCGGUAACUAACCAGAAAGGGACGGCUAACUACGUGCCAGCAGCCGCGGUAAUUC